GGCUCCAUAGUGUAGCAGUUAGCACAUCUGCUUUACAUGCAGAAGGUCCUGGGUUCGUGCCCCAGGUGGAGCCA
rfam:Pteropus alecto contig56897, whole genome shotgun sequence.